CUGCUAUUUUUGGUCGUUUUUUUAGCUCUGCCUCAACUUUGUAAAUGGUCACCAAGAUGUUUUCCCUAUGGGGCUCUAGCGCAGCUCUUAUCCCCUUCUUUUCUGAUGAGGCAGCACCAGCGCAUGCGCCCGUCGCUGGCUGCUCGUAGCGGCGUACCGCCGUCAACCAUAGCUUAAGCGGAGGGAAGAUGUACGUCGCGGCGUCUCUCCCGACCUCUAUUGCCCAAUGGAUUUGGGGGAGCCUGCACAGGCACUUUUUCAUGGAGCUGAUACAAUAGAGAUUGAGAUUUAAGGACUAUUCAUUAGACUUCGUAUCAAUGGACUGUUCCUCUUCCACACAAUGAUAUUCUUCGGCAUGAGCAAAUCGCUUCCGAUUAGCUUCCGGCUACCUGCUGGGAUAAGAUUCUCGCUGGAUCUGUUGAAUAUCUUGCGCCAAGGAAGGCAGGCGGUGGCGCGGCCGCACUGAGACGCCGGCACAGGCGAGCUGCCGCGAAGUGAACCAAGUAGCCGUCUGGCCUAAGUGGAGCAACGCGGCGCAACAAAUACUAAGGAGCGGAAGCUGGGUGCAUUAGUGUCGUACGUAGCAGCGCAGGUCUUGGAGGCUUCUACAAUAUCAUAUCUUAGAAGAGUUCUGAUUCAUUACCUCAUCUGUUGGGUUGUCGUGCUUGAUUCCAGAUGGAAAGAUCUAAACAGACCUCGAGAUUUCAGCUAUAUAUUACCGUUGAUGAUUUUCUGGCGUUUCUUCUUCCAUCGUUCGAUGUGCCGGUCGUCCUGCCGUAUGUCGCCCCUUCGAUUCGUGUGGAGUCUACUUGUUGUUGCAGUUGAUGUUUAUUGCAGGAUGGAAAGAUCUAAACAGACCUUGAGAUUUCAGCUAUAUAUUACUAUUGAUGAUUUUCUGGCGUUUCUUCUUCCCUUGUUCGAUGUGCUGGGCGUCCUGCAGUAUGUCACCCCUUCGAUUCGUGUGGAGUCUACUUGUUGUUGAAGUUGAUGUUCUUGGCGUGUGUCAAUAUGGCGUUGUGUGGAUCUCCUUCAAUCUUCAUACUGGCGUGUGUGGAUCUGCCUUCAAUCUCAUACGCGUGGUGUUGGGUGUUAUGGCAUUUGUUAAUUCCGUGGGCGUUUUGGGGUGUGUGCCCCAACCUUUAUAUUAGUCCAAAGGUUAUUGAGUUUGAGUUGGGUACGGAUGAGUGUAUGCUGGAAACUAUUCCGUGUGCAAUAGUAUACGUCCACCUUGUUGCCUA